rnacentral:lncRNA from 1 species
UCCUGAACACCUACCUACGGCAUUCAUAACCCCGCCGUGUUCCCGAUCGAAGAGAGAUCUUCGAAGGGACAGUCACGGUUACUCACACAGUUGGCAUAUUUUAUUAGUUUUUGUUUAAGUUUUCUAAUACCGGAUGUUAACAAAAUAUUCCAAGUUGCCACAUAACCGCGGGCACGGCUUUCCGAAAGAUUAAACCCUGCAGGGGUGCUCCAACUAGUCCAUCACAAACGAACACAGGCCGCAAAGUCAUCCUCUAUCACGAAUCUCGUGAUCUCGUCGGAUUCCUUAGAGGAAAACCUCAACUCUGGGGAAAACCAAAGCCUCACCGGGAUUCCUAUACGCAAGAUAUACCGCUAAGGCAAGACAAGGCUAGCAGGACCUCCCGUCGUGUCGACGACCCUGAUAAGAGCCGCGUAUCUCAGUCUCAGGACACGACAGAUGAGCUAGACGUCGGGAUGGCUAAACCUCUGGGUGACCAGUGGGGCCCCGGACAUCGCUCAGGUGGGACCAACACUCAUGGGGAGCACUGGCCCGGGUUGUUGAUUAAAUUCCUCGGGGUAGCU